UACGGGGGGGGCAAGCGUUGUUCGGAAUUACUGGGCGUAAAGGGCUUGUAGGUGGCCAACUAAGUCAGACGUGAAAUCCCCCGGCUUAACCGAGGAACUGCGUCUGAUACUGGAUGGCUAGAGUGUGGGAGAGGGAUGCGGAAUUCCAGGUGUAGCGGUGAAAUGCGUAGAUAUCUGGAGGAACACCGGUGGCGAAGGCGGCAUCCUGGACCAAUACUGACGCUGAGGAGCGAAAGCCAGGGGAGCAAACGGG
rnacentral:rRNA from 1 species